rnacentral:rRNA from 1 species
UACGUAGGGGGCAAGCGUUGUCCGGAUUUACUGGGCGUAAAGAGCGCGCAGGCGGUCGUUCAAGUCGAGUGUGAAAGCCCCCGGCUCAACUGGGGAGGGUCAUUCGAUACUGAUCGACUCGAAGGCAGGAGAGGGAAGUGGAAUCCCGGUGGUAGUGGUGAAAUGCGUAGGAUAUCGGGAGGAACACCAGUGGCGAAGGCGGUCUCCUGGGGGCCAUUCUUGACACUGGAGGCGCGAAAGCUGGGGGAGCGAACGGG